UUCGACAAAUUGAUUUUUGAGGAGGGUUUCGUCAAAGGUGGUGUUUAGUCAUUGCACCUUUUGGCGAAACUUGGUCUUUCGUCGCAGGCCCAAAUCAGUCGAAGCCUAGUAGGGCCCAGUUUAUCUAUUUAAUCCUAGUCACGUACGUAACUCACGAAAUCUUGGUGAUUGCAAACCCUACUCUUUUCGUCACCUUCCUAUCCUUGACGGCAGCUUCAUCCCCUUCAUGUGAUACCAUCCCUCUCGUUCAGUCGGCACACUAUACACGUUCGGGUUUGGUUGACCAACUGGGAACGGGUAAUGUAACGUAACAUACCGAGCAAAUCUAAGGUUUGUAGGUUUAUAUCGUUGGGACUUGCUGUCUAGGAUGCUGGAGUGGUCAUGGGUCGAGAUACAUGGAAUCUCAAUACAAGCUUAAUGGUUUAUGUUCACAUGUUUUACGGAACACUUAAUAAAUGAGUUAUGCUUCCGCUGUAUACAAUGAA